UACAGAGGGUGCGAGCGUUGUCCGGAAUCACUGGGCGUAAAGGGUGCGUAGGCGGGUCUUUAAGUCAGGGGGGAAAUCCUGGAGCUCAACUCCAGAACUGCCUUUGAUACUGAAGAUCUUGAGUUCGGGAGAGGUGAGUGGAACUGCGAGUGUAGAGGUGAAAUUCGUAGAUAUUCGCAAGAACACCAGUGGCGAAGGCGGCUCACUGGCCCGAUACUGACGCUGAGGCACGAAAGCGUGGGGAGCAAACAGG
rnacentral:rRNA from 1 species